rnacentral:misc_RNA from 1 species
GAUGAAGAACGUAGCGAAAUGCGAUAAGUAGUGUGAAUUGCAGAAUUCCGUGAAUCAUCGAAUCUUUGAACGCACAUUGCGCCUUCUGGUAUUCCGGAAGGCAUGCCUGUUCGAGAGUCAUUAACAACCGUUUCGAUCCCUUUCUUUCAGAAAUUACAAAGAGGAAAAGGGUUUGGUUAUGGUGGAGGAGGGAAAGGGAGCGUUUAGCCUGUAAAAAAAGAGGCUGUGUUCCGCCUCCCCCCCAAAAUUGUACAGGCGGUCGUGUGCGCCCAUGCAUCGAGGUGUUGUAAAAGCUGCCACGACACUUUUCACCUGUGCAGUGCGAGAUUGGCCAGCCGGUUUAAAAACCCCUCCAAACAAUCAAAGGUUGACCUCGGAUCAGGUAGGGAUACCCGCUGAACUUAAGCAUAUCAAUAAGCGGAGGA